AACGAACGCCGGCGGCGUGCUUAACACAUGCAAGUCGAACGCGAAAGUCCCUUCGGGGAUGAGUAAAGUGGCGCACGGGUGAGUAAUACGUAGGAACGUGCCUUAUGAUGGGGAAUAACCACGGGAAACUUUGGCUAAUACCGCAUAAUAUCGCAAGAUCAAAGAGGGCCUCUGCUUGCAAGCUCUCGUCAUAAGAGCGGCCUACGUCCUAUUAGCUAGUUGGUAGGGUAAAAGCCUACCAAGGCGAUGAUGGGUAACUGGUCUGAGAGGAUGAUCAGUCACACUGGAACUGAGACACGGUCCAGACUCCUACGGGAGGCAGCAGUGGGGAAUCUUGCACAAUGGGCGAAAGCCUGAUGCAGCAACGCCGCGUGGGUGAAGAAGGUCUUCGGAUUGUAAAGCCCUUUCAGCUGGAAAGAAGGGCGAAGUAGCUAAUACCUACUCCGUCUGACGGUACCAGAAGAAGAAGCACCGGCUAAUUCCGUGCCAGCAGCCGCCGUAACAC
rnacentral:rRNA from 1 species